rfam:Salmo salar isolate Sally breed double haploid chromosome ssa19, whole genome shotgun sequence.
UGCACACAUUACUAUAAGUCACUUUGGAUAAAAGCAUCUGCUAAAUGGCAUUUA